rnacentral:rRNA from 1 species
GACAGAGGUGCCGAGCGUUAGGCGGAAUCACUGGGCUUAAAGCGUGUGUAGGUGGAUGCCUAAGUACCUUGUGAAAUCCCACAGCUUAACUGUGGAACUGCUUGGUAUACUGGGUGUCUUGAGUCACUCAGGGGCGAGCGGAACAAAUGGUGGAGCGGUGAAAUGCGUAGAUAUCAUUUGGAACGCCAAUGGUGAAAACAGCUCGCUGGGGGUGCACUGACACUGAGACACGAAAGCCAGGGGAGCGAACGGG